UACGUAGGGGGCAAGCGUUGUCCGGAUUUAUUGGGCGUAAAGAGCGUGUAGGCGGCCAUGCAGGUCCGUUGUGAAAACUCGAGGCUCAACCUCGAUACGCCGAUGGAAACCGCAUGGCUAGAGUCCGGAAGAGGAGAGUGGAAUUCCUGGUGUAGCGGUGAAAUGCGCAGAUAUCAGGAAGAACACCCGUGGCUAAGGCGGCUCUCUAGUACGGUACUGACGCUGAGACGCGAAAGCGUGGGGAGCGAACAGG
rnacentral:rRNA from 1 species